rnacentral:rRNA from 1 species
CAAUAGCGUAUAUUAAAGUUGUUGCAGUUAAAAAGCUCGUAGUUGGACUUGGACCUGGUCAGGCGGUCCGCCUCACGGCGAGUACUGUCUUGCUGGGUCUUUCCUCUUGGUGAUCUGUUGUUUCGGCAGCAGGGAACCAGGACCUUUACUUUGAAAAAAUUAGAGUGUUCAAAGCAGGCUCGACGCCGGAAUAUAUUAGCAUGGAAUAAUAAAAUAGGGCGUGCGGUUCUAUUUUGUUGGUUUUUGGAAUCGCCGUAAUGAUUAAUAGGGACAGUCGGGGGCAUUAGUACUCACAUGCUAGAGGUGAAAUUCUUGGAUUUUGUGAGGACUAACUUCUGCGAANGNAUUUGCNAAGGAUGUUUNCAUUA